CUCUCCGUUUUCCUCCUUCCUGCCAUGUUGAAUGUGUCAGCCUCUCCUUCACCUUCCACUCUGAUUUAUUUUGGAACGACAACAAUAAAAACUGGUAAGACCAAGAAGAGGAGAAAAUUUCGUCAUUCUCAGUCCUUAGAGUCCCUUAAAGGAAGUAUUUACAUCUAAAGAAAUGCUUGUGCCUCUGCCUGUCUCCUUCAGCUGGCUGCUCUCCUCUACAUUCGGUGGCCUUGGGAACACCAAAGAUGUGGCCUUGGCAACACUUGCACAUCGAGGUCAAGAGGCCAGGAAGAGCAUCCUGCCUUCUAACUCCUUUGAAGUUUACUCAAAAUUCUCAUCCUGAACUGGACUUUUGGACUCAACAACAAAAGGGAUGACGCUGUGUUUCAGAGGAAUUCAUAAGCAGAAUUGAAUUUGUUUUAGUUAACUCCUUAUUUGAUUGGAAUAUUGUCGACUUAACAAAAUAGUAGAAAGAGCAUUGGGCUGAAGUGAGAAGAUUUGAAUUCUAGUCCAAAAUCUGUUACUAACCAGCUCUUUGACCCUGAGAAGUCAUUUGACUUGAAUUAUAGUCUUUUUCUUAUAUGGGAAAGGUGGAGUAUACUCAGAGUCUCUCCUAAGUGCUAAGAUUCUGUGAUUCUAUGAAAUCAGACCAUCAGAGAGGAAUACUGCAGUGUUCUCCUGCAUGGGUUGUAAAUGAGAAAAAAGAAAGAAGGAGAGCAAAAUGACUUAAAGACAUUUUCAAGAAAAAAAGAGGAGAGAAGUCACUGAAAUGGAAAAAUAAACAUAUUAUAUAACUAUUUAUUGCACUAUGCAAUAAAAACAUCUUCAGCAACAGCCACACAAGUGCGGGUAGAGGGUCUGCUUUGAAGAGAGAAAAAAGGCUGCUGCAGAAAAAACAAACCUCAAUUCAUAAUUGGAGCUUUUGUUCUUUCUGGAUUGUUUUGUGAAGAACAUGCUGCCAAAAAACAUUUUUCUUCUGUAACCGCUUCUUUUGAAACUCCAUUCUUUUUUAUUUCAAGGAUGUUUAUUAUCUACUCAUUUCUUUUUAUUUAUUUUUGAAUCAUAUACCCCAAUGUCUAGAUGACUGGGACCACUAGGUUUCAUAUUUCCCAGAUGAGAUUAGUUGUACAGUUCAUUUUGCAGGUUUAUUCAGAGCAUUUCAAUGGCAUUUCACCUACAGUUCACCUAUAUUGAGUCCUAAGAAAUUGAAGGUGUUUCUUGAUAGUUCUCCUGCUCCAUCUUCUUCCAGGGGAUUGAUUUGGCUUCUUAUGUUUUUGUAUUUGGUUGCUCAUUAGAGAUAAGCCUGAUUAUUUGGCAUUGUGUAUUUUCUCUGUUUUAAAAAGGGAAAAUACAACAUGUUAUUAAUUAUUAUGAUAUAAUAAAAAAUGGAGAGAAGGAAAAA
rnacentral:lncRNA from 1 species